UACGGAGGAUGCAAGCGUUAUCCGGAAUUAUUGGGCGUAAAGCGUCCGUAGGUGGCUUUACAAGUCAGCUGUUAAAGCGUGGAGCUUAACUCCAUAAAGGCAGUUGAAACUGUGAGGCUAGAGUGCGGUAGGGGUAAGGGGAAUUCCUAGUGUAGCGGUGAAAUGCGUAGAUAUUAGGAAGAACACCGGUGGCGAAAGCGCUCUGCUGGACCUUAACUGACACUGAGGGACGAAAGCUAGGGGAGCGAAUGGG
rnacentral:rRNA from 1 species